rnacentral:rRNA from 1 species
UACGUAGGGUGCAAGCGUUAUCCGGAAUUAUUGGGCGUAAAGAGCUCGUAGGCGGUUUGUCGCGUCUGCUGUGAAAACCCGAGGCUCAACCUCGGGCCUGCAGUGGGUACGGGCAGACUAGAGUGCGGUAGGGGAGAUUGGAAUUCCUGGUGUAGCGGUGGAAUGCGCAGAUAUCAGGAAGAACACCGAUGGCGAAGGCAGAUCUCUGGGCCGUAACUGACGCUGAGGAGCGAAAGCGUGGGGAGCGAACAGG